rnacentral:tRNA from 1 species
GCCAGUUUAGCUCAGUGGACAGAGUCCUUGUUUACGAAACAAGUGGUCACAGGUUCGACUCCUGUAACUGGCUCCA